CCCCUAGAUGUUCUGGGCCGCACGCGCGCUACACUGAACAGUUCAACAAGUCUUAACCUUGGCCGAUAGGUCUGGGUAAUCUUUGAACGCUGUUCGUGAUUGGGAUAGACCUUUGCAAUUAUGGGUCUUCAACGAGGAAUUCCUAGUAAACGCAAGUCAUCAGCUUGCAUUGAUUACGUCCCUGCCCUUUGUACACACCGCCCGUCGCACCUACCGAUUGAAUGGUCCGGUGAAGCCUCCGGAUUGGCGCGCACCUCGGUGCCGCCGAGAAGUUGGCUAAACCUUACCAUUUAGGGGAAGGUGAAGUCGUAACA
rnacentral:rRNA from 1 species